rnacentral:rRNA from 1 species
ACUCCUGCGGGAGGCAGCAGUGGGGAAUAUUGGACAAUGGGCGCAAGCCUGAUCCAGCCAUGCCGCGUGAGUGAUGAAGGCCCUAGGGUUGUAAAGCUCUUUCACCGGUGAAGAUAAUGACGGUAACCGGAGAAGAAGCCCCGGCUAACUUCGUGCCAGCAGCCGCGGUAAUACGAAGGGGGCUAGCGUUGUUCGGAUUUACUGGGCGUAAAGCGCACGUAGGCGGACUAUUAAGUCAGGGGUGAAAUCCCGGGGCUCAACCCCGGAACUGCCUUUGAUACUGGUAGUCUUGAGUUCGAGAGAGGUGAGUGGAAUUCCGAGUGUAGAGGUGAAAUUCGUAGAUAUUCGGAGGAACACCAGUGGCGAAGGCGGCUCACUGGCUCGAUACUGACGCUGAGGUGCGAAAGCGUGGGGGGCAAACAGGAUUAGAUACCCCGGUAGUCCCAUG